GACGAACGCUGGCGGCGCGCCUAACACAUGCAAGUCGAACGGAGUCAAGAGGAGCUUGCUUUUCUUGACUUAGUGGCGAACGGGUGAGUAACGCGUGAGUAACCUGCCCUGGAGUGGGGGACAAAAGUUGGAAACGACUGCUAAUACCGCAUAAGCCCACGGAUCUGCAUGGAUCUGCGGGAAAAGGAUUUAUUCGCUCUAGGAUGGACUCGCGUCCAAUUAGCUAGUUGGUGAGGUAACGGCCCACCAAGGCGACGAUUGGUAGCCGGACUGAGAGGUUGAACGGCCACAUUGGGACUGAGACACGGCCCAGACUCCUACGGGAGGCAGCAGUGGGGGAUAUUGCACAAUGGGGGAAACCCUGAUGCAGCGACGCCGCGUGGAGGAAGAAGGUUUUCGGAUUGUAAACUCCUGUCGUUAGGGACGAUAAUGACGGUACCUAACAAGAAAGCACCGGCUAACUACGUG
rnacentral:rRNA from 1 species